rnacentral:rRNA from 1 species
UCGGGAAUUUUGGGCAAUGGGCGAAAGCCUGACCCAGCAACGCCGCGUGAGGGAUGAAGUAUUUCGGUAUGUAAACCUCGAAAGAAUGGGAAGAAUAAAUGACGGUACCAUUUAUAAGCUCCGGCUAACUACGUGCCAGCAGCCGCGGUAAUACGUAGGGAGCAAGCGUUGUUCGGAUUUACUGGGCGUAAAGGGCGCGUAGGCGGCGCGGUAAGUCACUUGUGAAAUCUCUGGGCUUAACUCAGAACGGCCAAGUGAUACUGCUGUGCUAGAGUGCGGAAGAGGCGACCGGAAUUCUUGGUGUAGCGGUGAAAUGCGUAGAUAUCAAGAGGAACACCUGAGGCGAAGGCGGGUUGCUGGGCCGACACUGACGCUGAUGCGCGAAAGCCAGGGGAGCAAACG